UGCCGACGUGGUGAAAUUGGUAGACACGCUAUCUUGAGGGGGUAGUGGCGAAAGCUGUGCGAGUUCGAGUCUCGCCGUCGGCACCAA
rnacentral:tRNA from 16 species